rnacentral:rRNA from 1 species
GAGACAUGGGAGCUUGCUCCUAUGAAUCUUAGUGGCGAACGGGUGAGUAACGCGUAAUCAACCUGCCCUACAAUGGGGGACAACAGUUGGAAACGACUGCUAAUACCGCAUGCGACCUACGAUUGGCAUCAAUCGUAGGUGAAAGGUGGCCUCUACAUGUAAGCUAUCGUUGUAGGAGGGGAUUGCGUCUGAUUAGCUAGUUGGAGGGGUAACGGCCCACCAAGGCGAUGAUCAGUAGCCGGUCUGAGAGGAUGAACGGCCACAUUGGGACUGAGACACGGCCCAAACUCCUACGGGAGGCAGCAGUGGGGAAUCUUCCGCAAUGGACGAAAGUCUGACGGAGCAACGCCGCGUGAGUGAUGACGGUCUUCGGAUUGUAAAGCUCUGUUAAUCGGGACGAAUGGUUUGUGUGCAAAUAGUGCAUAGACAUGACGGUACCGGAAUAGAAAGCCACGGCUAACUACGUGCCAGCAGCCGCGGUAAUACGUAGGUGGCAAGCGUUGUCCGGAAUUAUUGGGCGUAAAGCGCGCGCAGGCGGACUAGCCAGUCAGUCUUAAAAGUUCGGGGCUUAACCCCGUGAUGGGAUUGAAACUACUAGUCUAGAGUAUCGGAGAGGAAAGUGGAAUUCCUAGUGUAGCGGUGAAAUGCGUAGAUAUUAGGAAGAACACCAGUGGCGAAGGCGACUUUCUGGACGAACACUGACGCUGAGGCGCGAAAGCCAGGGGAGCGAACGGGAUUAGAUACCCCGGUAGUCCUGGCCGUAAACGAUGGGUACUAAGUGUGGGAGGUAUCGACCCCUUCCGUGCUGCAGUUAACGCAAUAAGUACCCCGC